rnacentral:lncRNA from 1 species
UAUACUUAGUAAUAACAUUUUAUAUAGUAUAUGUUGAUUUUGAUCACUUUUGUUCAUUAUCAUUCCUUCUCAUCAAAUUUACUGUGACACAUUAAUAACAAAACACUCAAAGAUAGUUAAGUCAUAACAUUUGGAACUUGUGAGAACAAUUUUAUGUGGCAAAAGAAACUGAAUAUGCUUGGAAUUAAGGCUCUUGAAAUGGGAGACUGAACUGAAUAAGUUGAAUGGCCCCUAAAUUCAAUCAUAACUGUCCUCCUAAAAGCAAGUUACAUGAAGAUUUGACAGAAGAAAGCAAAAGUGAUGAAUGAAGUAGGAGGGAUAUGGGCAUGACUGAAAUUCCAGCACUGUGGAAGGUUGAGGUGGGAGAAUCACGAGUUUGUGUCCAACCUGGGCAAAUCAGUGCCUUGGUGAGAUUCUGUUUCACAAUGGAAGGGAGGGAGAGAGGAAACAGGAAAAAAAAUUUUUUUAAUUAAGCGGGAUGCUACUCUGCUGACUUGGACACUGCUAGAAGCCAAGUAGUCAAAGGAAAGCAAACCCAGAUGCUGAUACACUGAUGGUUUCUAAAACAUAGUUUGAACCUCUGGCAUUGACAAAUGUAAGAUAAGCAACCUGCACUGUUGUAAACAAGGAAGGUCAUGAUGGCAUGUGUUAAGUUUGUACCAGGAACUCGAGUGUGUGCUCUCUAGUCUAACACUGCACAAGGCUGAUUUUUCUGGCCAGGGCACUGAGCCCAGACACUUGCAUGACUCACAUUCUUACUCCUUUGAAAUCUGUGCUUCAAUGAUAGGUCCCUCUUAAAUACCCUAUUAAAGUAAACUGCACAUUCUUCUAUGUUUAUGAUCACCUUAGUGUUUUCUACUUUACAAUGGUAUGUAGCAUUUUUAUUAUUUUUUACAAUUUACAUUGUAUUUUGUUUGAGUCCUUUAUUAGAAUAUAAACCUUAAGAAGUAGGGAUAGUUUUUCCCUUGUUGACUCACACCCCAAGAACCUAGAAUUGAGUCUCACAUGAAUACAUUUGCCGAAUCAAUUAAUUAAUAAUCUGAGGUUAAGACGUUUCAAUUGUACUGCAGAAUUAAAUGAACAAUGAAAGUGUGCAAGGAAAAGACUGAAUACUAUGGAGAUCUUCAUGUUUAUUUUCUUUCAGCCUUAAUGCCAUGGGGAAAAUAUGGAGACACUGAACAUAAAGAGAAAUGAAAGAAAUAUUUGUGAAGAAAAGGAGUAUUAAAAAUUUACUCUGGGACACUUUCUCUUACAUGAUUUUAUUUAAUAAAAAGAUUUACAGCCACCACCACCAUCCUUUCUUAUUCCCACUAUAUCUCUACUAUUCUAUAAUUGAGCUUUUUGAAAAAAAAUACAUGAAAAUUUCUCCAGAGUUCAGGACAGGAUCAAUUUUUGAACUUUGAGAAUAAUGAAACAGAAGUGUUAGUUUUCUCUUAGUUUAAAUAAUUCUUUCUGAAUCUUUAUAUCAUUUUUACAGCAAACUUAAAUAUUAGAUGUUUUCUUUAGGAUACCACUAAGAUACUCAAAGAUUGUACAGAUUUUCUUUUUUUCCUUUUUACCACAGAGUAUGUGAUUAAAUGUCACUGUAUAGUUAACAUAGAAGACAAUUUCCAUGAGAAUAAUUUUGUGGUUUUUAUUAAGUUCUUUAAAUCCCUCUAAAAUUAUGUUACCCAUCCAACCUCCUGUGUUACUGAAUUUUGCAACAGCAUUUUGAGCUCUGAUGCAAAGCCAUUAAAAAUGAGCAAUGCUUGUGAUGAGUUUGUAAUCUUCUUAAUAAUGCCUUGAAUAAUGAAUAAAAUCUGAAAUUAACUUCCCCACAUUUCCUAGUAAUAGAUUUAACAAUAUACACAGAAAUGAACUAAACAUGACUAUAAGUUAAAAACUUAUUUUCACAAUCUAAACUACUUUAUCUCGUACUAUAGCAGUUCUGCAUUUUAAUAAUGUAUGCUGUACAACUUAUACAGGGACAUAUUAUUGGGCUUGCAAAAAUGGUAGAAGGUAAUAUUUGGGGAAAGCAUUUUGUUUUUUCCGGUCAUAACAAUUGAAUUGGUCUUCUUAUCCAUCAUUUCCACUGAAUUUCAAUGAAGUAGCAGUGGUGACAGCUCUACCAGCAGGAGUUUUAAUAAAAAAAAAAAAAAAGAAACCUCUAACUUCCUUUUUUCCUCUGAACAAUAAAUUCAAUAUAAUACUGACCUUGCCUUUACCUCUUAAAUAAGGAAAGGAAUAAAGCUGUUGAUGAGAUUAUAGACCAAAAGAAACAAUAACAACAUUAGUUCAAUGUGUGCAGUGCUAGUUUGGAAUGCAGAAGUAAGUAAUGUGAUCUUAAAAAGUACAAUUUAAGGACAUUAUUUAAAGGAACACAGUGAUACUUGACUUUAUUUUAUAAUGGCGUUUCCAGCAUGCCUUUAAAAUAUUCACUUUUUAUUAUUCUAAUUGAUGUUGCCCAAAUUUUUCAUCAGCUCUUAUAAUAAAGAAAGAUAAACCUGAGUCAUUUGUUGGAAGAUGGUUACACCUUGAGACCAUAAUGCUAAGUGAAAUAAAUCAGGCAUACAUGGUUAAAUAUCACAUUGUUUUUCUUAUAUGAGAGACCAAGAGUAAAAAUAAAGAGCAAAAUAAAAGACAGAUAAUAGCUAGUAGGGAGAUGUUCUAUUAUAUUUGAAUAUUAUUAUAGUUUUUCCCUUGCAUUUCUUUUCUUUGAAUAAUUUUAAUUUUUGUAUAUAUAUGUGUUUAGUGAAUGAUAAUAAAGUUAUACAUUUUUAUAGAAAAAAAUCAAACAAACAAAAAAAGAAAGUAGGGAGAUGAAUUUUUCUCAGAGAGAAAAGGGAUCAAGAGAUAGUAGCAGGAACAGGAAGGGAAAGGUAAGGGGAUUAAAAAAAAAAGAAUUGGAAUGUGUUAUGUAGCAACUCCACACAAGGAAUGUAAACAUUACAUGCAAAAAUGUACAACAAAAGAAAAGGAAAGGGGUCAAGGGAUCGGUAGAGGGGGAAAGAGAAAAGGGAAAGGGGAUGCAAAAGGAAUUAAGAUGUUUUAUAUACAUGUACCAACUUCCCACAAGGAAUGUAAACAUUCUGUAUUACACACACAUACUACUAAACUAAAAUUUUAAUAAAUAGAAAACUAGCAAGAUAUUUCUUAAAACUUAGUGGAAGUUAUAUUGAUCAGCUUUUGCAUUGCUGUGACAAAAAUAUCCAACACCCACAAUUUAAAGGAAGAAGCUUUACUUUGGCUCACGGUUUCAGCCCACGACUGACUGGCUCCAAGGCAGAAACACCGUAGCAGAAGGGUGUUACACCAGAGUCGGUCUCCUCAGCGGUGAGGAGGCAGAGCGCAGGGGAGGAACGCCAGCUGGAGGCAGCCUUCUGAAGCCCUGGUUCAGGGACUCACCUCCUCCAGCUGGGCUUCACCCACUUAGCCCAUGCACAUAAAUCCACAGAUGAGUAUAGCACCACCUUGAUCCAUCACAUCUCCAAGACUGUUAAUUCACUUGAGUUGACAAUAAAAAUUCAUCAUAUUCAUAUGAAUAACUUUAGAAGUUAGGAUAUGUCCUAUUUCUGCUGCCAACAGUACGUGAUCAAACCUCAUUUAUAUUACAGUUUAUGCAUGGUCACUACCAAUAAAAUGAAAUAUUAAAAAGGAGCAAAUGUUCUCUUUUAUAUGAUAGCAUAUCUCAAAUUAAAUUAAAAUAAUGAACCGGGAAUACCAAUAGGUGAAUGAAGUAUUUUAUGUAUAACAUUGUGGUACUGGGAUAAUAGAUGUGAAUUAUUUAAUUUGCUGCUCAUUAUUUUACUGUAAAAUGUUGAGUGGGUGAGGUCUACAACAAGGAAUACAUACUUGGACACUUAAUAUUAAGCAUAGAUGGAUUUUAGCCAUGUAUUGAGAAACUGAAAUAACCUAUUUAAGUGGGUAGAAACUAAAAUGUUUGUUAAUAAAACUGAAAGAGAAAUAUUGAUGCCUUAAAGCCCUUUUAUUGUAAAAAAAAUGAAUGGUACAUCCCAGGGGAUUUAAAAACAUACUGAUGAUUUUUUUUUUCCUGGUACCAGGGAUCGAACUCAGUACUUUGAGCUUGUGGGGUGGCACACUGAGCUAAAUCCCCAGCUAGAGAUGAUUAUGAUCUUUAUCUAGAUGUUCUUAUUAUAUUGGUAACAGUGCAGAUGGAACCAGCAUUUAGCACAUACUAGGCAAGGAAUUACAUCUUUUUAUUUUUAAUUAUUGAAAGGUUUACAUAUUUCAUAUAAUAGGACUACUCCAUUUGAUUUUUAAUUAUCUUACUGAGGAAAUGUACAAUUUGUUUGUUUGUUUAUUUAUUUAUUUAUUUAUUUAUUGGGAGGGUUACCGGGGAUCGAACUUGGGACCUUGUGCUUGUGAGACAGAUGAUGGAACACAGGGCAGGGAUUUAGUUCAGUGAUGUCGCAGCCUGCCUCGCAAGGGCAAGGUCCCAAGUUCAAUCUCAGGUACCAAAACAACAACAACAACAACUUAUGAAUUGUUUAAUUUUAGACUUCUCUACUUAAUGUUUAUUGGACCAUAGUUAACCAAGGGUAAUUGGAACCCUACAAGUAAAAGCAUGGAUAAGAGGAGACGAUCAUAUUAUCUACUUGGUAAUUUUUUAUUCAUUAAGGAAAGUAAUGUGGUAAUAACUACAGCUAGAAAAAUAUGAAUUGUUACUUUAUGAUAUCAUGAGUUUCCCAUUGUUUGGAAAGAAGGGAUUUUACCACCACUUAGGGUUAGGAGUAGGGGACUGAUGCAUCAGCUUUAGUGCAAAAUAAACUACAACCCAAUACUAAUACUUUCCUUUUUUUUUUUUGUACCGGGAUCAACUCAUGUCCUUGCGCUUGCAGGCCAGGCGGCGAAACCACUGAGCUAAAUCCCCGGCUAAUACUUUCUUUUUUGUGAGGUGAUGCAGAAUUUUUAUAUUUUAACAUCAUAUAGAUCAAAAUGUGAGUCUCAACCCCUCUUCUCAUCAGCCUUGUUACCUUAAGCAUGCUGCUUAACAUAUGUAAUCCUCUUUUUCUACCUGAAAAUUUUGAAUGAAACAAUUUCUGUAGUACUGCUGUGCAAGAGAAUUGAGAUAAUGUUUAAAAAAGCAUCUGGCACAGUGUUUGGUAUGUUAAAAGUUCUCUGAUAAUUGAGAAUGUAAAUCUGAGUAAUUGUUAUAAUGAUUGUUACCAAGAAAAACAUUUAAUAUAAGUCAAUAGCACCAAAAGGAAAUUUAGCUGCUUGGUAAUCUAGACCACAUUUGUAUGAACCACGUUUCUAAAUCUGGUAUAAUUUGAGCUAAAAGAAGAAUAACAUAUCACCUACAGAGUAUUCCAACCUAAACCUUAGAUUAUUAGUCAUUCCCUUGGGCAAGUGGUGAUUGUUGAAAAACACAAACCUUUGAAAAAAGAUGGAUUAAGCAGUUAUCAGACAUCAAUAAUUAUUGCUCAGAAAGCCUGAUCUGAUUGGUUUCCUUCACCAAGCUGAAAGCAGGAAAGGAAACACAAGAGAAUGUAUACUUAGAGGAGAUCUUAUAACGCCAGGAGGGUUGCAGGGACAGAGACUCCUGGUGCAGAGCUGCAGACUUGCGCAGUGUAUUCCACACUCCAAAGAGAAGUGAUAAAAGCCAGGCAGGUUUGCCAUAAAAGUGACUUCAUACAUUUAUUCUAAAGUUAUAUCCUUAUAAUGUUAUGGGAAUUGAAGCUGCACUUCUUUUUAAAUUAAAUAUUAUUUCCUUUUGAAAUUGACAGUUUUGUUUUAAUAUUGUUACUCAUUGAAUUUUAAGAUAUUUUGCAUUUUGCAAGGGAUUUCACUGAAUCUCUUCUAACUUUAAAAUACUGGAUACAAAGAAGGGCAAAUCCAAAUCCUGACACAGGAAUAAGUUUUUUAAAUAAGAGAAGCAGUCAUUUAUCCACUGAAUAAGCAUUUUUUCAUUUGCUAACUGAGAAAACAUAGUUAUGAAUGUUAAAAACAGACAAGAACAAAAACACAAAAUGGCUGUGAUUUUUACACAUAAAGUGUAAAAACCUAGAAUAAAAACUGCCAUUGUUGAAAGCAAUACAUGCUAAGUGAUAUAAAAGAAAAAGAAAGUGAGUGAUAUAGCAGGUCAUUUUAUGUAGAAAGGGUCAAUAAUGGCUCAAAACUAUAAUAAGCUUAGAUAGCAAUGAUGUGAAAGAAAAUGUCCUUCUGAUAGUCUAAAUGGAAAAGUUAGAAGAGAUGUUGAGAUGGUCUGAGGGACAGAGCUCCACUGAUGAGUUAUAUCAAGAAAUUCACUAACAUUUUAAUAUAGAGCGAAUGCAGAAAUACCUGCAGAGAACAAAGCUAAAGCAGCCAUCUGGAAUCAAGUUUAAUGAAGAGUCUUAUAAGUGGUGCUAAAUGUGCCUAAAAGUAACAGGAUUCUUAUAAGUCUUUUUUUCUAUUAGUACAUAUUUGCAGUACAUACAUUUUACAGUCAUCUUGGGCAGUUGGUACAUAUUUGCAAUACAGCUUGUUUCUUUGGGUUUAAUCCCCUUUCCUCCUCCCUCCUCCUGUAGUUCCCCUUUCCCACUUUUCAUCUCUCUUGAUAUUAUUAACCUUAGUUCAUUUUGUGGUGUAUAGUGUCCAUAUUCCCUGAGGUCAUUAGGACCUCGUACCUGGCACAUUUUCACUCUACCUAUUUCCCCAUCCCCCCCCCCCACUCAUCCUUGGUUCCCCAAUCCAUUCCCUUCUGCCAGAGAUCCAUCCCCUCAUUUUACCUUUCCUUUAUUUUUCUCUUAGUUUGUACUUUAUCUUGCUCAGAUGAGAGAUACUAUACAGUAUUCAAGUUUGUGUGUGAGAUUUAUUUCACUCAAUGUUAUAUUUUCCAGGUACAUUCAUUAUCCUACAAAUGUUCAAAUUUGCCCUUAUUUAUAGACAGGUAGUAUAUUAUAUAUAGCUGCCACAUUUUUCUUAUUCAAUCAUCUGUUGAUGGAUGUACAGGAUAUUUCCAGGAUUUUGCUAUUAUUUUGUGUUAGUAUAAAUAGCAGUCGACAUGUAUCACUGUAGUACGAUGUCUUAAGCGCUCUGGGAGAGAUACCUAGAAGGGAGAUAGCUGGGUUAUAUGAAAUUUCUAAUGUUAGUUCUUUGAGAAAUCUCCAUACUAAUUUCCCUAAUGGUUGUACUAGUAUGCAUUCCCACCAACAAUGUAGGAGGGUUCCUUUUCCACCAUAGCCAAGCCAGCAUUUGUUGUUUUUUGAUUUCUUAAGAAUUGCACUAUAUUAAGAUACAAUUGCCAUUAUGGAGAAAGAUUUGUUAUAUGUAGAAUAUAAGAAGGUCUUAUAUCUGAUAGGACUAGAUAGACAGAUAAAGUAUAAUAUCUAUAAUAUAUAGAUAGAUAGAUACAGAUAUAUUACAAUAGGAGCACACAGGAGUAGUAAUUAUAUCAGAAGAAGAUCAAAAAAUUCUUUUUCACAGGAAAAAAAUGUAAUCUGAAUCUAAUUAGAGAAGAAUAUUUGUUACACCUUAGAAAAAAAUAGAGCUUGGGUGAUAGAAUUUAAAAUUCCAAGAAAAAUGGGAAGAGUAGAAAAAACUAUAGACAAAGGAAUCAUGUAAGACAUAAGACAUGUAAAAUAUAGAUGAAGGAAUCAUGUAAGAUGUAAGACCAUGGCGGUAGAGACUAGAGAUGAAAAUUACAGUCCCAUCUUGGGAGAAUGAUAAAGAACAAUCCCAGAAAAGCCAUUAUCAAUAAGAAUGUGGAAUGAUUAUUGAUAAUUUAAUAUCAAAAGUACAUUCUACUAUGAGAAAAAAUGUGCUAUCAAAACGGAGUAGGCCAAUUUUUAGAGGUAAUAUAUUUUAUUAUAAAUAUAAUUUAACUUAUGUAACCUAAUAGGUGGUAGUAUAGUCAAAUUGUUGAUUGUUGGUGGCUUAGAUCUGGAAACCACCUAUGUAGUACCUUUAUGGUACAAAAUGCAUAUCUGAAAAAAUCAAACUGAGUGUUUGAUAGAAAAGAUUUUUAAAGUAUAUUGUCUGUAUUGACCUCAGUGAGGAAGAAUAUUUCAAGAAUUGGCAUUGUCCAAGAGUAGAGUAAGCUGGGUGUAAUCAGCACCCACACUUCUGGAGAACUAGUUUGCAUGAAUAUAUCUUUGCCAUGUGAGCCAGAGGCAUAAUCCAAGCUGUGCCUUCGCUGCUCGCUCAGAUA